UACGAAGGGGGCUAGCGUUGUUCGGAAUCACUGGGCGUAAAGCGCACGUAGGCGGAUUGUUAAGUCGGGGGUGAAAGCCUGUGGCUCAACCACAGAAUUGCCUUCGAUACUGUAUGGCUUGAGACCGGAAGAGGUAAGUGGAACUGCGAGUGUAGAGGUGAAAUUCGUAGAUAUUCGCAAGAACACCAGUGGCGAAGGCGGCUUACUGGUCCGGUUCUGACGCUGAGGCGCGAAAGCGUGGGGAGCAAACAGG
rnacentral:rRNA from 1 species